UGGGGAAUAUUGCACAAUGGGCGCAAGCCUGAUGCAGCCAUGCCGCGUGUGUGAAGAAGGCCUUCGGGUUGUAAAGCACUUUCAGCGGGGAGGAAGGCGAUAAGGUUAAUAACCUUGUCGAUUGACGUUACCCGCAGAAGAAGCACCGGCUAACUCCGUGCCAGCAGCCGCGGUAAUACGGAGGGUGCAAGCGUUAAUCGGAAUUACUGGGCGUAAAGCGCACGCAGGCGGUCUGUCAAGUCGGAUGUGAAAUCCCCGGGCUCAACCUGGGAACUGCAUUCGAAACUGGCAGGCUAGAGUCUUGUAGAGGGGGGUAGAAUUCCAGGUGUAGCGGUGAAAUGCGUAGAGAUCUGGAGGAAUACCGGUGGCGAAGGCGGCCCCCUGCACAAAGACUGACGCUCAGGUGCGAAAGCGUGGGGAGCAAACAGG
rnacentral:rRNA from 1 species